rnacentral:rRNA from 1 species
AUUUUCCGGUUGAUCCUGCCGGACCCGACUGCUAUCAGAGUGAGAUUAGCCAUGCGAGUCAACGUAGCAAUACGUGGCACACGGCUCAGUAACACGUAGUCAACAUAACCAGAGGACGUGGAUAAACUCGGGAAACUGAGGCUAAACCGCGAUAGACCAAGAUACCUGGAAUGGUUUUUGAUCAAAAUCUAUAUGGCCUUUGGAUUGGACUGCGACCGAUCAGGCUGUUGGUGAGGUAAUGGCCCACCAAACCUUUUACCGGUACGGGCUCUGAGAGGAGGAGCCCGGAGAUGGGUACUGAGAAAAGGACCCAGGCCCUAUGGGGCGCAGCAGGCGCGAAACCUCUGCAAUAGGCGAAAGCCUGACAGGGUUACUCUGAGUGACUUUCGCUAAGAAAGUCUUUUGACACCUCUAAAAAUGGUGUAGAAUAAGGGGUGGGCAAGUCUGGUGUCAGCCGCCGCGGUAAUACCAGCACCCCGAGUGGUCGGGACGAUUAUUGGGCCUAAAGCAUCCGUAGCCGGUUUACAAGUCCUCCGUUAAAUCCAACUGCUUAACAGAUGGGCCGCGGAGGAUACUAUAAGACUAGGAGGCAGGAGAAGCAAGCGGUACUCAGUGGGUAGGGGUAAAAUCCGUUGAUCCAU